UCAGAAUCUUGUAUAUUGGCAUGAAUUGUGUGCUUCUAUUGUACAUAUUUAAUUAAAUAUUUCUUCUGAUUGUUUUAGAUGGAAUUAUUAUCAGAAUGAUAGGUUCUCAGUAAGGUUAAUGUAUCUAGCUUUAAUUAACAAUGGUUAUGUUGAGAGGAAUAAGUGUAUUUGUGUCAUAGGCUCUCCGGACCUCCCAUUAUAUUUGAGAUAUGAAGUGAAUAAUUUAAGUCAUCAAACAAACAUAAUGAAAUAUCCGACACCUCGAGAGAAGAAUAUUGGAGAUAUUGCUGGGCCUUUAGCCUGCCAGUCAACUUCAGCCUGAGAUGUGCCCGUCAAACCACUCGAAGGCGGCGACCAGAUGUGUUACACAUUCAGGAGACUUGACAAAAAUAGCUAAAUAUCUACAACAUCUCAACUAUUCUUAACUCAUACUCAUGUGAAUCUAGUUCCUAGGAUGUGCACUAGAUUCACACUUUCAUCUUAAGCAUGGACAUACAUAGCAAAUACAAAUAAGAUGAAAGCGAUUAAAAUUUACAACUACUUUAGAGAUACAUAGGCCCACUGGCCAAAUAACUAUAUAGAACAGCGGAAAGCUUGUCUACCCAAUCCACAAGCACACCGACUAGGGGUUUACCCCAUUAAGUUCAAGUCCUAGAAGAAGCAGACGAUUACCCGCAUCACUCAAAGACUGAAUCUAAAACCUGCAAGCAAAAGAUUAAUUCAACAGUAAGAGUCUGUACAUUAUUAGAAAUAAUGUACUGGCAAGCACCAAGACAAGCCUAACACCCUACUUGCAAGGCAUAUAAUCAAGGAAGGCAUAAUAUGGUUCUUUUUAGCAUAAAGCAAGUUUUGUUUGCAUAAAACAUUUCCAAAUCAGAUUUGUUUUCAAAUAAAUUUCAGCAAGCUAGUACUUGACAUAUUGGACAUCAAAGUAGUCAUUAAUCAUGUAUAAAUAUACACCUCAUUGCCCUCCAUGGCAGCAAGGAGAUCAUUCUCAAAUCUCAAUAUAAUUUAAAAGUAAAUUCAGCAUUUAGAAGAAUAAACACAAGUCUAUACUCAACACAUAUCCACAUGCCGCUCAUAACCGCGAGCACGGCUAAUCGAUUAGUUUUUAUAACUCUGCAGAGUUUGUACAGCUUUACCCACAUGAUGUGAAUCACUCUAGUUUGUCCGGUACCCGUCAAUACCACCAUACUCUACACAUUGAGUACGGUCUAGAGGUCACAACGAGGCUUUUACAUUAAGUAUUGUCUAACCUUGCAUGAGCACGAUACGUGUUUCUCCAUCCUAGAUCAUACUCGAUAUAUGACCUAGAACCGUUAAGUGGCGGACCCACGCCUUAAACUUAACGCCGUGGUAGCGGACACAACGGGAACCCACCACGUGGCACAAUAUCGUUGUAUUGGACACACUUAGACGCCCAUGCCGUGAGGCGGAACAUACACUCGUCCCCUCACGGAAAUCACACACUUAGGAAUAGUACAAUCGUCCUAAGGUUCAACACACACAUGGGUAGUUCCUCUAGAUAGCCUACAGUACAUUCGUAGCCCCUACCUAUACUACAACGGCCUCCUGAAUGCAAAGUUAGACAAGUGCUUAACUUAAUUGGCCAAGAUCCCCCUAUAAAGACACAUGUGGAUGUACGGUAGACAUAAUGAACAGACAUUGAGUGAAGUCCUUAGGUCGAUUUGGGCGCACUCUCCCCCUAUCGGUACACAACUAAUCACCAUAUGUGCACCAAUUGAGGCCCAAACCUAAAAUCCAUGUUUUCCAUCAUUUUAUUUAUCAAAAUCACAAGUAUUAAAGUUUUGUCCAGAUUAUUUCAAAAUCAAUUUUCAUGUUUGUAAUGAGCCUAUAAUGACAAGGAAGACCAUUUCUAAGCAUGGCUAAGCAUUAUAGCAAUCUAGUGACAUCUAAACUCAUAUAUAAAGUGGCAUAGUCAUAUUGUUCCUAAGGUUAGGAAUGUGGGAUAUGGAUAUAUGUGGGGUUAGGGUGAUAAUGCAAGUAAUAGGAGUAUGUCUAACAAGUUUAACAAAAUUUUAAUUUAUUAGUGUACAAUCGACAUGCAAGAUUUGUAAACAUGUUCAAUAACCUCCAAAACAUAGGUUCAAAGUGAUCAAAGAGAGGGAGGUGGGACUUGCCUUGCAACUGGAAAAUGUCAGCACCUAAUUCACUUCUUCACCGUUUAAGCAAUCAUCUAUACAAAGUACACGUUAUGCAAUUAAACACCGAAAUUUGCGAAAAAUCCAAAAUGCUCUAAAAUGCAUGAUUUGUGCACAGUGAAUAGGUACUGGUUUAAUAUGAAUUUAGGUGAAAGAAUUUCUAUUUUAUCUCUUUUUAUUUUGGAGUUAUGAAUUUUAAAAGUUUGCUCGGAAUAAAGUAGUAUCACCUAAGUAGUGUUAUAAAAUAUUUUUAUAAAGUGAUGUUUAUUAAGUUCGACUUCACAGAGGUGUAGGGGAGUGUUUUCUAAGACUAACACAUUUGGUUUCACAAUUUUUGGAGUUAAUAUAAAUUCUUUAUGUAUUUUACAAGUUAUAACGUGUUCUAGGCAUAUAGUCUCUACGAAUAAUUGGCUUUAGAAGUUCUAUGUCCAGAACAUGUUCUAUUUGCUAGAGAUGCAUAAAAAAUGAAUAAUUUAGCUAACCAAUUUAAUCUUAGUUCAAAAUUUUAGAGUUUAUAUUACUCUACUACAUAUUUUAUAAACUAGGGAGUGUUCUAUGUUAGUGACUUAACAUAUCAACCUAGAAAUUGAUAUAUGAGCUAAGUGUGCCAAUUUUUAGUGGUUAGGGAUGGAACUUAUGUGUGGAGAUUAUGGGUACCCCAUACCCACAUGGCAUGGUUAUCCGACUAGUUAUAGAGGAUAACUUAUAUAUAUAAAAUAUGUAACAGAUCAUGACUUGGGUAUUACGUUUCCCUGUAUAUUAUGAAACGGCCUAAAGUCCUGGUUUGAUAAGAUUGUAAACUAGAUUUAGGAAACCGAUACCGUAUUGGUUAAGGUUUCUAUCUUGUAACCCUGCCCCCCAACCUAUAUAAGGCGGGCAGGGAGCCCCCUCUAGGGGCAUGAGACAACCUGAUCGUCAGAUCAAUACAUACUCGGCGGAUUCAAAUCCCCAAACAGGAGUAGGGUAUUACCUCUCAUUGAGAGGGCCUGAACCUGUCUAAAUCCUUUGUCUCCACAUCCAUCCACUUUUAGGUCUCGUGCGCUACCCCGUUUUAUUAUUGCCGAAUUCAUGUUUCGACAUUAUGUUUUCUCCGGUCCAACAAGUUUUGUGUUGGUUUAUUCAUAGCUAGAGUGCAUUUUAAAUACCUCUACACAUAUAUUUUGCUUAACCAUUACUAGGUGAUUAACUUCUAGGUUAUCUAUUUAAAGAUUAGAUCUAUAAUCUGUACAAAAGGUGCCACAUUUUAUUUUACUAUGUUGAAGCCCACUAUUUUCUGGUUCUAUAGAAACUAGGUUCACUCCAUUUGGGCUAAAGAUGAAUUUUCUACAAAUUUUACAAAUUAAGGUAUGCUCUAUGUUGCUUAUUCCUUACACAAAUGUUUAGGGGUUUUUGUUAUACUGUAAGUAUGUCUUUUUAUUUUAUAACAUUGAAGUGCAUAACUCUAUGAUCCUAUAGAACCUGAGUUUACUCAAAAAGGAUCUAAGAUGAAUUUUAUAUAAACUUCUAAAGUUCAGCUAAUCUAAAACUAGUCAUUUUAAAGGUAAUAGUUUUAGAGGUAUUUGAUGUAAAGUGUGUAUAUGUUUUAUUUCACUUUGUUUUUAGAGAACAUAUUGAUGGAUCUGUAGAAACUAAGUUUGCU
rnacentral:lncRNA from 1 species